rnacentral:rRNA from 1 species
GACGUAGGGAGCGAGCGUUGUCCGGAUUCAUUGGGCGUAAAGAGCGCGUAGGCGGCCGUGCAAGUCGGUUGUGAAAUCCCGGGGCUCAACCCCGGGACUGCGUCCGAUACUGCACGGCUCGAGGCAGGUAGGGGAGAGUGGAAUUCCCGGUGUAGCAGUGAAAUGCGUAGAGAUCGGGAGGAACAUCAGUUGCGAAGGCGGCUCUCUGGACCAGCACUGACACUGAGGCACGAAAGCGUGGGGAGCAAACAGG